rnacentral:rRNA from 1 species
AUUGAACGCUGGCGGCAGGCCUAACACAUGCAAGUCGAACGAGUGGCGGACGGGUGAGUAAUGUCUGGGAAACUGCCCGAUGGAGGGGGAUAACUAAUGGAAACGGUAGCUAAUACCGCAUACCAUCGGAUGGGCCCAGAUGGGAUUAGAUAGUAGGUGGGGUAACGGCUCACCUAUGAGACGAUCCCUAGCUGUUCAUAGAGGAUGACCAGCCACACUGGAACUGAGACCCGGACCACACUGCUCCGGGCGGCACCCGUGGGGGAUAUUGUAAAAUAAGCGCCAGCCUGUUGCAUCACUGCCGCGUAUAUUAAGAGGGCAUUCAGCUGGUAAAGUACAUUAAAAGAGACGGCGUCACUCGCAGCAGAAGCAACGACUAACUCCGUGCAAGCAGCCGCGGUAAUAC